CCCUCAGUGAAGAGUGAGAUCUUCGGCCAGUGGGUAAUUUUGAUCCAGCUCACAAAUAAACAUGAGGAUACGCAUGUACGAAGUUUGUGGACAAUCACAACCCAACAAAUAUGUGAGCACUCCAACAGAGUUCUUCAAUCUUGUUGGAGGUUGGUCAGUGUUGCAAGGUAUAGAUUAGCAUCAUGUAAGGUGGUCGGCGCUACUGAAUGGACAGGGGGUGCACAGGGAGGUCCUUCAAUUGGGUUUGCAUACUUUGGUUGGC
rnacentral:lncRNA from 1 species